UACGAACCGUCCUAACGUUAUUCGGAUUUACUGGGCUUAAAGGGUGCGUAGGCGGCCCGGUAAGUUGGGUGUGAAAUCCCUCGGCUCAACCGAGGAAUGGCGCUCAAAACUGCCGGGCUUGAGGAAGAUAGAGGUGAGCGGAACUUAGGGUGGAGCGGUGAAAUGCGUUGAUAUCCUAAGGAACACCGGUGGCGAAAGCGGCUCACUGGGUCUUUACUGACGCUGAGGCACGAAAGCUAGGGUAGCGAACGGG
rnacentral:rRNA from 1 species